UACGUAGGGUCCGAGCGUUGUCCGGAAUUACUGGGCGUAAAGAGCUCGUAGGUGGUUUGUCGCGUUGUUCGUGAAAACUCACAGCUCAACUGUGGGCGUGCGGGCGAUACGGGCAGACUGGAGUACUGUAGGGGAGACUGGAAUUCCUGGUGUAGCGGUGGAAUGCGCAGAUAUCAGGAGGAACACCGGUGGCGAAGGCGGGUCUCUGGGCAGUAACUGACGCUGAGGAGCGAAAGCGUGGGGAGCGAACAGG
rnacentral:rRNA from 1 species